UCCCUGGAGGACUAGUGCUUAGGCCACAGCGCGCUCACCGCCGCGGCCCGGGUUCGAUUCCCGGCUGGGGAA
rnacentral:tRNA from 1 species